UACGGAGGGUGCAAGCGUUAUCCGGAUUUACUGGGGUUAAAGGGUGUGUAGGCGGUCUAUUAAGUCAGCGGUGAAAUCUCCGGGCUCAACCCGGAAACUGCCAUUGAUACUAUUAGUCUUGAAUGUUGUUGAGGUGGGCGGAACGGGUCAUGUAGCGGUGAAAUGCAUAGAUAUGACCCGGAACACCGAUUGCGAAGGCAGCCCACUAAGCAACGAUUGACGCUGAGGCACGAAAGCGUGGGGAUCAAACAGG
rnacentral:rRNA from 1 species